CGUAGGUGGCAAGCGUUGUCCGGAGUUACUGGGUGUAAAGGGCGUGUAGGCGGGAAGAUAAGUCAGAUGUGAAAUUCCAUGGCUCAACUGUGGCGCUGCAUCUGAAACUAUUUUUCUUGAGUGAUGGAGAGGAAAGCGGAAUUCCUGGUGUAGCGGUGAAAUGCGUAGAUAUUAGGAGGAACACCAGUGGCGAAGGCGGCUUUCUGGACAUUAACUGACGCUGAGGCGCGAAAGCGUGGGGAGCAAACAGGAUUAGAUACCCUGGUAGUCCACGCUGUAAACGAUGGAUACUAGGUGUAGGAGGUAUCGACCCCUUCUGUGCCGGAGUUAACACAAUAAGUAUCCCACCUGGGGAGUACGGCCGCAAGGUUG
rnacentral:rRNA from 1 species